ensembl:lncRNA novel transcript
CGGCCGCGCGGUAGGGCCGGGUGGCACAGGAGAGGCCUAGGGUCCGCUUCCAGCCCCCUCCGCUGCCGGGUGCUCCCGGGUCAGCCCGCGCCUGGCUCCUGGGCCGGGGAGCCGCGGGGCUGGAGGCCGCGCUUGCAGACCAGCCCUCUGCGCUCCACCGGGGAGGGGCCGAGAAGCGCAGCUCCAGACCCAGCGGCCAGCACAAAUAACAGGCUUGGCAGAGGCGAACGCAAAAGGUCGAGCUUUCCGAUUUCGAGUAGAGUGCCUGGAUGGGCGGCAGGGAGGGCGAGGGAAGGAGGGGUGCCGAGGCCGCCCCUGUGGCUCUCGGGAAGGUCACCA